CGGUAUUCCACAUCGUAACAUCAUGUAGUGCACUGAAAGUUAAAGAGUUAAAGCUCCAGGUCUGGGUAUCUGUCCCGGAAGAGAAGAACUACUACAUCCCCCAGAGGACUGUUUGCUGUUCUGUUAUCAUUUCCACUCAGAGGGAAAAGAUAAAAGGCCUUCGUAGGUCAUUUCCCAUUCCCUUUUGAUCUCAGCAGCAUGUGAGCUCUCCAGAUCAUCUUGUCUCAGCUUUAGAGGUAUGGAUCCACGCAUCCCUCCACCUUCCCUCCACCCCGCUAAUCACGGAACUGGGCUGAACCAGCCUGUAAACCAUUUACACUUUACUCAACUGGAAGCCUCUCCAAACUGCUGAGAAAGGCACGUUUGUUUCUGAAGAGGCAAGAGGUAUCUCUUCCCUCCUCCAGAGAUGACUUCUCCUCAACUCCUGUAUUUUGCUUUUCCUGAUGCAGAGGCUUCUCCCAGAAGACCAUAUUCCUAGCUGCAGGACUUCACUGUGGAAUGGAGCAGCUUUAAAAUACAAGAAGUCCAUUCUACGGGAACAGACAGAUAAGCAGUCUGCAAGGAUCAUCAUCUCAUUUCACAUAUGAUAUG
ensembl:lncRNA